UACGUAGGGUGCAAGCGUUGUCCGGAAUUAUUGGGCGUAAAGAGCUCGUAGGCGGUCUGUCGCGUCGGCUGUGAAAACCCGGAGCUCAACUCCGGGCCUGCAGUCGAUACGGGCAGACUGGAGUUCGGCAGGGGAGACUGGAAUUCCUGGUGUAGCGGUGAAAUGCGCAGAUAUCAGGAGGAACACCGGUGGCGAAAGCGGCUCUCUGGACCAUAACUGACGCUGAUGCACGAAAGCUGGGGGAGCAAACAGG
rnacentral:rRNA from 1 species